UACGAAGGGUGCUAGCGUUGUUCGGAAUUACUGGGCGUAAAGGGCGCGUAGGCGGCCAUGCAAGUCAGGGGUGAAAUCCCGCAGCUCAACUGCGGAACUGCCUUUGAAACUGCAUGGCUGGAGUGUGUGAGGGGAUGGCGGAAUUCCUAAUGUAGAGGUGAAAUCCGUAGAUAUUAGGAGGAACACCGGUGGCGAAGGCGGCCAUCUGGCACACAACUGACGCUGAGGCGCGAAAGCGUGGGGAGCGAACGGG
rnacentral:rRNA from 1 species